UACAGAGGGGGCAAGCGUUGCUCGGAAUCAUUGGGCGUAAAGGGUAGGUAGGCGGUCUCAUUUGUCGGGGGUGAAAGCCCAGGGCUUAACCCUGGAAGUGCCCCGGAAACGGUGAGACUGGAGUCUUGGAGAGGGUCGUGGAAUUCCCGGUGUAGCGGUGAAAUGCGUAGAUAUUGGGAGGAACACCAGUGGCGAAGGCGGCUCACUGGACCGGAACUGACGCUGAGGCGCGAAAGCGUGGGGAGCAAACAGG
rnacentral:rRNA from 1 species